AACGUAGGUGGCGAGCGUUAUCCGGAUUUACUGGGCGUAAAGGGUGUGCAGGCGGGCUGUUAAGUGGUGUAUGAAAUAUCCCGGCUCAACCGGGAGAGGUUAUGCCAGACUGGCAGUCUAGAGAGCGAGAGAGGGACGUGGAAUUCCGGGUGUAGUGGUGAAAUGCGUAGAGAUCCGGAGGAACCCCAGAGGCGAAGGCGGCGUCCUGGCUCGCAUCUGACGCUCAGGCACGACAGCAUGGGGAGCGAACGGG
rnacentral:rRNA from 1 species